rnacentral:rRNA from 1 species
AAUUGACGGGGGGACGCACAAGCUGUGGUGCAUGUGGUUGAAGUCCAUGCAACGCGAAGAACCGGACCGCGUCUUGACAUCCACAGAAGUCUCCAGAGAUGGAGUGGUGCCUUCGGGAACUGUGAGACAGGUGCUGCAUGGCUGUCGUCAGCUCGUGUUGUGAAAUGUUGGGUUAAGUCCCGCAACGAGCGCAACCCUGAUCCUUUGUUGCCAGCGAUUAGGGCGGGAACUCAAAGGAGACUGCCAGUGAUAACCUGGAGGAAGGUGGGGAUGACGUCACGUCAUCAUGGCCCUUACGACCAGGGCUACACACGUGCUACAAUGGCGCAUACAAAGAGAACCGACCUCGCGAGAGCAAGCUGACCUCAUAACGUGCGUCGUAGUCCGGAUUGGAGUCUGCAACUCGACUCCAUGAAUUCUGAAUCGCUAGUAUUCGUGGAUCAGAAUGCCGCGGUGAAUACGUUCCCGGGCCUUUUACACACCGCCCGUCACACCAUGGG